rfam:Triticum aestivum genome assembly, contig: Triticum_aestivum_CS42_TGACv1_scaffold_220765_3B
AUAGUACUCCCUCCGUCCAAAAAUACUUGUCCUCGAAAUGGUUGUAUCUAGACUUAUUUUAGUUAUAGAUACAUUCAUUUUAUCCAUUUUGAGGACAAGUAUUUACGGACGGAGGAAGUAUACU